rnacentral:rRNA from 1 species
CCUACGGGUGGCAGCAGUAGGGAAUCUUCCACAAUGGGCGAAAGCCUGAUGGAGCAACGCCGCGUGGGUGAAGAAGGUCUUUGGAUCGUAAAACUCUGUUGUUAGAGAAGAAAGUGCGUGAGAGUAACUGUUCACGUUUCGACGGUAUCUAACCAGAAAGCCACGGCUAACUACGUGCAAGCAGCCGCGGUAAUACGUAGGGGGCAAGCGUUAUCCGGAUUUAUUGGGCGUAAAGGGAACGCAGGCGGUCUUUUAAGUCUGAUGUGAAAGCCUUCGGCUUAACCGGAGUAGUGCAUUGGAAACUGGGAGACUUGAGGGCAGAAGAGGAGAGUGGAACUCCAAGUGUAGCGGUGAAAUGCGUAGAUAUAUGGAAGAACACCAGUGGCGAAAGCGGCUCUCUGGUCUGUAACUGACGCUGAGGUUCGAAAGCGUGGGUAGCAAACAGGAUUAGAUACCCCUGUAGUC